AUCGAACGCUGGCGGCAUGCUUUACACAUGCAAGUCGAACGGUAACAGGCCGCAAGGUGCUGACGAGUGGCGAACGGGUGAGUAAUGCAUCGGAACGUGCCCAGUCGUGGGGGAUAACGCAGCGAAAGCUGCGCUAAUACCGCAUACGAUCUAUGGAUGAAAGCGGGGGACCGUAAGGCCUCGCGCGAUUGGAGCGGCCGAUGUCAGAUUAGGUAGUUGGUGGGGUAAAGGCUCACCAAGCCAACGAUCUGUAGCUGGUCUGAGAGGACGACCAGCCACACUGGGACUGAGACACGGCCCAGACUCCUACGGGAGGCAGCAGUGGGGAAUUUUGGACAAUGGGCGCAAGCCUGAUCCAGCAAUGCCGCGUGCAGGAAGAAGGCCUUCGGGUUGUAAACUGCUUUUGUACGGAACGAAACGGUCCCGGUUAAUACCUGGGGCUAAUGACGGUACCGUAAGAAUAAGCACCGGCUAACUACGUGCCAGCCGCCGCGGUAAUAC
rnacentral:rRNA from 1 species